CCGGGAAGAUGCGCUGAGACCUGGUUAUGUGAGUCCCGGCCGGGAGGGCCAACGCACGCUCCCCUUCUCAGCCCUCUGUGCUUGCGGUCCUGAAGCACCCGAAAAAGCCGAGACGGGAGCGUCAGUGCAGAGAUGAGGACAGGCGAGCCCUUGGCCGCCUCCGGCUUCCCACAGCAUCUGCGUCUGAGUGUCUAUGACGGAGACGCUGACAAGGAGCGGGUUCUCGGUGGUGUUGGUGAGCGGCUCCCUUCCCCUCGUGAGGUUCCCCUGAGGAACAGGUGCCGUUAAACAGAGCCCCUCCCCACCCCCCCAGACUCCUGCGUCAGCUGCGUCCUCCUGUUCCACGGGGAAGGACAGCCAGCCGGCUGUUGACCAUGGGUCCAGACUCCACUCAGUCUCCUCAUCGCGGAAGCGGCUCUCAGCGUGGUGAGGAUUUACAUGAGCUGAGGCCUCAGUAAAGCCUGAAACGCCCCAGGAAUGUUGAAAGAAAUGAAAUGUGGAAGAGAUCACACAAUACCUGGGUAUUCGGCGUGCCGUGAUCAAGAGGCGAGAAUUUAGGAAGGAACGCCACACUGGAAAUACGUUUAAUACCUCUAAGAACACUGUCAAGUGACUUGGAAGCAAACCGCAGAACGGGACAGCAUCCCCUGGGUGGCUGUUGGUGCGGCAGGCAGAACCUGCAGUAAAGGGGUGUGAGGUACCCGCUCCGUUUCCUUGUGUUAUUGACAAGAGUGUAUGCCACACGUACACACACACUCACGGACUUCCACAAAAACUGAUGUGCUAUCUCACUGAUUCCCAGAGGCAUGAUUCAACAUUCUAGAAACUGUAUUUAAAACUUCAACACUUGAUAGAAUUUUUUAGCAAAGUUCUGUAUUCAUGUAACGGCAACUUGAUUUUCUCACAUUCUACCCUAAUCUCUGACUCACUGAACAUACCAGACUUCCAAUAAACUAAACUCCUAUAAUAUGUA